rnacentral:rRNA from 1 species
UACGGAGGGGGCUAGCGUUGUUCGGAAUUACUGGGCGUAAAGGCUCGUAGGCGGCCAACUAAGUCGGACGUGAAAUCCCCAGGCUCAACCUGGGAACUGCGUCUGAUACUGGAUGGCUUGAAUCCGGGAGAGGGAUGCGGAAUUCCAGGUGUAGCGGUGAAAUGCGUAGAUAUCUGGAGGAACACCGGUGGCGAAGGCGGCCGACUGGGCCGACCCUGACGCUGAGGCGCGAAGGCGUGGGGAGCGAACGGG